GUUGCCAGCAUUUAGUUGGGCACUCUAAGGGGACGUGCCGGUGAUAAGCCGGAGAGGAAGGUGGGGAGUGACGUCAAGUCCUCAUGGCCCUUACGGGCUGGGCUACACACGUGCUACAAUGGUGGUGACAGUGGGCAGCGAGCACGCGAGUGUGAGCUAAUCUCCAAAAGCCAUCUCAGUUCGGAUUGCACUCUGCAACUCGAGUGCAUGAAGUUGGAAUCGCUAGUAAUCGCGGAUCAGCAUGCCGCGGUGAAUACGUUCCCGGGCCUU
rnacentral:rRNA from 1 species